rnacentral:miRNA from 1 species
UUCGUUGUCGAUGAAACCUUGA